rnacentral:lncRNA from 1 species
UCUUUCAACAGAUCUCCCUUUAAAAAAAUUAUAAACUUGAUGUUUAAUACAGUGUAUAGAAUACAGUAAGUAUGUUAAAAGGUUUUUUUUAAUUCAAUAAUCAAUCAAUUAAUGGAUCCAUGCAUUGGAGUAGGCAGUUAGGUAACUUAGUGAAUCACUAAUCCUGAAGUCAGAAAGAUCUGAAUUCAAAUUUGGCCUCAGACAUUUACUAGCUAUGUAACUUUGGGCAAGUCACUUAACCUCUGUUUGCCUUCAUCAGUUGGAGAAGAAAAUGGCAAACCACUCCAUUAUCUACUCCAAGAAAACCACAUGUACAGCAUGAUCCAUAAAGUCAUGAAGAGUUGAACAGGACUGAUUGAAUGAACAACAAUGUGUAAUGAUGACUAUCUUGGCAAACACUGUCUAAUGGCCAGCAAUUGAUACAUGACUCAAGGAGGACAUGAAUUCAGCUCCACUGGAAUCUUGGUCUCCAUCUAUCGGAUAUAAGACUCUGGGAGGUAAGUUUUUCACUGUGUUUGCCAUCAG